rnacentral:rRNA from 1 species
CCUACGGGAGGCAGCAGUAGGGAAUAUUGCUCAAUGGGGGAAACCCUGAAGCAGCACCGCCGCGUGGAGGAUGAAGGUUUUAGGAUUGUAAACUUCUUUUGUGAGAGAAGAUAAUGACGGUAUCUCACGAAUAAGCACCGGCUAACUCCGUACCAGCAGCCGCGGCAAUACGGAGGGUGCAAGCGUUACUCGGAAUCACUGGGCGUAAAGGGUGCGCAGGCGGGCUUGUAAGUCAGAUGUGAAAUCCUGUAGCUUAACUACAGAACUGCAUUUGAAACUAUUAGUCUAGAGUGUGGGAGAGGUAGGUGGAAUUCUUGGUGUAGGGGUAAAAUCCGUAGAUAUCAAGAGGAAUACUCAUUGCGAAGGCGACCUACUGGAACAUUACUGACGCUCAUGCACGAAAGCGUGGGGAGCAAACAGGAUUAGAUACCCCUGUAGUC